rnacentral:pre_miRNA from 1 species
UUAGUACUCCCUCCGUUCCAUAAUUCUUGUCGAAAUGUUACAUGUAUCUAGACGCUUUUUAGGAAUAGAUACAUUCAUUUUUGGACAAAUUUGAGACAAGAAUUAUGGAACGGAGGGAGUAUAAG